UUGUUGAUAUUAGUGUUGCGUUAUUUAAUAAACGGGGUUGAGUUACAUAGGACGCGUUAAGUUACGCAUACGUUAAAGCACCCAGACGCAUAGCCACUUAUCGUUUUACUUUAAUAAGCAUUUAUUAUAAUUAUUUCAUGUUCAAUUUAUUAUAGAAAUGAUUUUGUUUUUCUUUUAAAAUUUUUUUUAGUGAUACUUACCAUUACUUUUAUAAAGUAUACCUAACUAUACACAGUUUGAUUUCAAUCAAAACGAUGUAUUGUCAAAAAAUUGAAAUAGUGAUCACAUUUCUCCAGCUUUAUGAUUCCCACUAACACAUAGUGUAGAAUAUUAUGUUGUGAAGCAAAUAAUAAAAUUGACUAUAAUAAUAAAUUUAAAUUAUGCAAAAAUAUUUUGAAGCAAUACAUUACAAACAGUCAGGCAAAUUGUCGGUUCCUCGAAGAAUAAUCUAGGAAUAAAAAAAUUGUUUUCCGAAAUAUAUUUCAUUUAUAAUAAGAUAUUUUAAUUUGCAUAAUUGUUUAUUUCAGUUUUCACAAGAAUAUAGAAGCAAAAACAGCCUGAACCUGAACUUGAAAAAAUGUUAAGCAUUUUUAAACGUUUACGUCUCUGUAAAAUGAUAACGAAACACCUAAAUUGAACUGCAUGCAAUAUCCGCGUAUGAAAUUCUAUGGUGAAAUAAAAAAAAAAAAUAUCUCCGAGAGCGUUGUCGAUGCAUCCGACGCCCGCAUUUUACUUGCAAAUUGCUUAUCCAUCGAUAUCAGGAUUCCGAUGGACCUCAUAUGCAUAAUAGUAUAAAAUAGUUAUGUAUCUACAUUAACAUUACAAUAAAAGUUAUUGAUUUACAAUAA